AUGAGAAUAAGUUGAUUAAAAUGAUUAAGUUCUCUAUGAUCAAGUAAUGACCAACCAAGUCGUCCAUGACCGCGGACACGGCUUUCCGAAAGAUUUAUCCCUGCAGGGUGUGCCAAUUUACCCGUACACGUUCGUCCAACCCUUAUUGCCACUCGAGUAGGAACACACAAAAAGGUGUGUCGGCAGGAUUGGGCGACACGACGUUUCCA
rnacentral:lncRNA from 1 species